GGAGAGUAGUAGAGAGUAGUAGAAUCAGGAGAGGAGAGUAGUAGAGGAGAGUAGUAGAAUCAGUAGAGGAGAGUAGUAGAGGAGAGUAGUAGAAUCAGUAGAGGAGAGUAGUAGAGGAGAGUAUUAGAAUCAGUAGAGGAGAGUAUUAGAAUCAGGAGAGGAGAGUAGUAGAGAGUAGUAGAAUCAGGAGAGGAAAGUAGUAGAGAGUAGUAGAAUCAGGAGAGGAGAGUAGUAGAGAGUAGUAGAAUCAGGAGAGGAGAGUAGUAGAAUCAGGAGAGGAGAGUAGUAGAGGAGAGUAUUAGAAUCAGUAGAGGAGAGUAUUAGAAUCAGGAGAGGAGAGUAGUAGAGAGUAGUAGAAUCAGGAGAGGAGAGUAGUAGAAUCAGGAGAGGAGAGUAGUAGAAUCAGGUGAGGAGAGUAGUAGAGAGUAGUAGAAUCAGGUGAGGAGAGUAGUAGAGAGUAGUAGAAUCAGGUGAGGAGAGUAGUAGAGAGUAGUAGAAUCAGGAGAGGAGAGUAGUAGAGAGUAGUAAAAUCAGGAGAGGAGAGUAGUAGAAUCAGGAGAGGAGAGUAGUAGAAUCAGGAGAGGAGAGUAGUAGAAUCAGGAGAGGAGAGUAGUAGAAUCAGGAGAGGAGAGUAGUAGAGAGUAGUAGAAUCAGGAGAGGAGAGUAGUAGAAUCAGGAGAGGAGAGUAGUAGAAUCAGGAGAGGAGAGUAGUAGAAUCAGGAGAGGAGAGUAGUAGAAUCAGGGGAGGAGAGUAGUAGAAUCAGGUGAGGAGAGUAGUAGAGAGUAGUAGAAUCAGGAGAGGAGAGUAGUAGAAUCAGGAGAGGAGAGUAGUAGAAUCAGGAGAGGAGAGUAGUAGAGAGUUGUAGAAUCAGGAGAGGAGAGUAGUAGAAUCAGGAGAGGAGAGUAGUAGAAUCAGGAGAGGAGAGUAGUAGAAUCAGGGGAGGAGAGUAGUAGAAUCAGGAGAGAAGAGUAGUAGAAUCAGGAGAGGAGAGUAGUAGAAUCAGGGGAGAAGAGUAGUAGAAUCAGGAGAGGAGAGUAGUAGAAUCAGGAGAGAAGAGUAGUAGAAUUCCUACUACAUGUAAUUACAAAUGAACAAGGGUGUAAUAACAAAUCCUGUGGUAAAGCUAAACACUUCUGACUUGGUAUGUAAAUCCACUGCCUGGAUCUCACAAUCAAUAUGAGUUGAGGAGGAAUCACCUGGGCUUAAGAAGGUGAAAGGUAUGCCCCCCGCCCCAACCACAACCCACCAUGUCUCGUCAGACUCAAUACCUAUGCAUAUGUACAAUCUUAGCACCUUUUUUUCUAUCUAGAACCAAAAAGGGUUAUUUUGCUGUCCCCAUAGGAGAACCCUUUGAAUAUC
rnacentral:lncRNA from 1 species